AGCCUUGUGUGUGCGCAUGUACUCUGUAGGCUUAGCCAAGCAUGGUGGCUCACACUCAGGAUGCUGAGGUGGGAUAGUUAGUUUAUUGUUUCUCAGCCUUUUGGCUCAGAUCAAGGGUAGAGUGUUGGAGGCCAGUUUGGACUGUAUAGGGAGACCCUGUCUCAAAACUCAAAAAGAGAGAGAAAACCAAAGCUGACAUUCAGUGCUUGCCUAGAACAUUUUUGCUUAUUCCUCUCCUACUAUCCUCACAUUCCCCAAAAAACAAACAGCCAGGAGUCAGGGUUUUAGCAAAGCACCACCUUGCCAUUGGGGAGCAUCAGAGGGGGAAUUGGGUGUGUCUGUGGCCGUCGUCAUCCUCUGAAAUGUCCCAAGGAGAAAGUACAGAACCUUUCCCAGCCUGUGCAUGAUGGUGAGUCCCAGGCUAGCCUGGACUGCCUAGUGAGGUGUUAUCUCAGACAUCAUCCAGGCCCUGUCUGAUGGUCCGUUUAUCUGUAAUUGACAGGACUGGUCAUGGGUGAAUCUUGUUGCCUGUGAUUCCUUGUAGUACAGUUGACCUGUGUACACCUCCUGAGUGCUGAGAGGCAUUGAGUGGGAUGACCAGAGGCAGGUAAUAGGCUGUUAAGGAUGUGGAGUCAUCCGCCCUCCCUGUCUCUCAGCAGCAUACAAGUGCCUCCUCCCUGGAGUCUGUUGAUUCAGAGCUGUGAUCACUGAAGCCAGUUUCCACCUAGCCGGGGAGGCCUGGCUAUAAUUGAACAGCGUGAUGUAACCACAUGGCUGUGCUCAGCAGGCGCUUGGUAUUGUGUGGACGGUCUCACUGAAGCUGUUGAAUAAAUGUCAAGCCUGUUUCCGUGUCGUGCCCUUCACUUGCCUCGGCCACCUUGUGCCAAGGGAGUGGUGUAAGCGUCAUGGGGGCACAGCUGGUCAAGCCUGUUAUUUCCUGUGUUCUGCAGAGCUGGUGGCGUUGAAAUCUAUAAUGGGGAUCGCAAGAUUAAGGUUUCCAACACCCUGGAGAGCCGGCUGGACCUCAUAGCCCAACAGAUGAUGCCGGAGGUCCGGGGAGCCUUGUUUGGGGCAAAUGCCAAUAGGAAGUUUCUGGACUGAGCCUGGGGAGGUGCGCUUCA